AUCCAGCUAACGAGUUCCAAAUAGGAUGAAACGCGCAUUCUGGAU
rnacentral:hammerhead_ribozyme from 1 species